AGUGAACGCUGGCGGUAGGCCUAACACAUGCAAGUCGAACGGCAGCACAGUAAGAGCUUGCUCUUACGGGUGGCGAGUGGCGGACGGGUGAGGAAUACAUCGGAAUCUACUUUUUCGUGGGGGAUAACGUAGGGAAACUUACGCUAAUACCGCAUACGACCUACGGGUGAAGGCAGGGGAUCUUCGGACCUUGCGCGAUUGAAUGAGCCGAUGUCGGAUUAGCUAGUUGGCGGGGUAAAGGCCCACCAAGGCGACGAUCCGUAGCUGGUCUGAGAGGAUGAUCAGCCGCACUGGAACUGAGACACGGUCCAGACUCCUACGGGAGGCAGCAGUGGGGAAUAUUGGACAAUGGGCGCAAGCCUGAUCCAGCCAUACCGCGUGGGUGAAGAAGGCCUUCGGGUUGUAAAGCCCUUUUGUUGGGAAAGAAAAGCAGCAGGUUAAUACCCCGCUGUUCUGACGGUACCCAAAGAAUAAGCACCGGCUAACUUCGUG
rnacentral:rRNA from 1 species